CACGUAGUUAGCCGGUGCUUAUUCUUCAGGUACCGUCAUUAGCAAAGGAUAUUAGCCUCCACCGUUUCUUCCCUGACAAAAGAGCUUUACAACCCGAAGGCCUUCUUCACUCACGCGGCAUUGCUGGAUCAGGCUUGCGCCCAUUGUCCAAAAUUCCCCACUGCUGCCUCCCGUAGGAGUCUGGACCGUGUCUCAGUUCCAGUGUGGCUGGUCGUCCUCUCAGACCAGCUACUGAUCGUCGCCUUGGUGAGCCUUUACCUCACCAACUAGCUAAUCAGAUAUCGGCCGCUCUAAAAGCAUAAGGCCCGAAGGUCCCCUACUUUCAUCCGUGGAUCGUAUGCGGUAUUAGCGUAACUUUCGCUACGUUAUCCCCCACUUCUAGGUACGUUCCGAUAUAUUACUCACCCGUUCGCCACUCGUCAGCGGAGCAAGCUCCCUGUUACCGUUCGACUUGCAUGUGUAAAGCAUGCCGCCAGCGUUCAAUCUGAGCCAGGAUCAAACU
rnacentral:rRNA from 1 species